rnacentral:lncRNA from 1 species
CUGGACUUGGACCCAAGGAGGCAGCAAUUAAAGGUUGGAGUCAUCUUUAAAGGAAAUCCCUUUGAGUGUCCUUCCAUGUGGGUCAACUGUCAUUCAAAAGGAGAGGAGAAGUGGAAAUCGACCAGUUUGGACAGAGUCAAAAGAGCAAAUAGGAACUGUGCUCAGAAAGGUUCAAGCACGCCCUGGGGACCCGCGAGAGGAGACAGAGUGUCAGUACUGGCGGUGGUAUCCAGCUUUCACCUCUAGCUUCCCCGCAGGAGGCGAAGUCCCUGUGUGACUGCGUUUCUGAGAGGCUGGGAUGGCGGCAGUGGGCUGGGAGGCCUGUGCAGGUGCCUUGGUUGCCACUCCAACCUUAUGACUUGCUACAGUAAUUGUGUCCACCUGCCUUCUGAUGGUUAAAUGCCACCACCUGACCUCAAUUGCUUCCGGGUCCUCCCAUGCCUGUUUCUAUUGGGCAGGGUGCCGUUCUUCCCCACCAGGGCCCUGACUGUGGCACAGGCGGCCUGCGGGCUAGGAGUCUACCCUCCGGAAUGCCUCUGAAGACCAAGUCCCGGGCCUGGCCCCCAGCUUUGUCUGCCAUCCCACUACAGAAGCUGACGGCCUCUCUCUACGCCAGCAAGGAGACCCUGAGUGUGGCUCUCGGCCCUUCUGUAUCCUUUACUAUAGCGUCAACCAAGCACAGCACUAGCCAUUCA